UAUUUCCUUCUAUUUUGUGGAAAGGAAGUAGGGCUAAAGCAGCUGAGGCGAAUUAUUUGACUACAUUUAAACGUGCAUUGCAUACAUGUAUUUGGAUUUUGGCAGGUUUCAUGAUUCAUAAGGUUUUGUUUCUUCCCCUGCAGAUUAGUAGCGUGAGUUCUCAAAUUUAUUCAGUAAGCUGUAAAGAAAAGGAAAAGGCCCACAGCAAAAGUUUGGACACCUUGUAGUUGACCUUAGGGCCCAAACUGCAUGCCAGUGAAACUCUACUUUGGCAGCCGAGCACUUCAUGUUAUCUGUGGACCAGGCAAUUGUGAAUGGCCAUAUCACUAUCUUCAGCGACGCACUUAUCCUGAUGUUUGGCUCUUACUACUGCACGAACAUUUCUUAUCCAGUAGCCCAGGCAGCAACCUUGGAAUUCUUGCAACGGUAAGGCGGCACCAGUCAAUUUUAUGCACUGAGACAUAAGAAUGAUGAGACAGUGAAAUCUAAAGUUAUGCAAUCCAAAUCAAAUCAUCAGAUCUCCUUUCAUUUGCAGCUAAAACACAUAAGAAUGAGCAAUGCUUGAGUGUUGAGAUGAUUUGUAGAUUGAUAAAUCAACAAAUAACUAAUAUUUGCGUUUCAGAUGGCUGUCUCUGAAAUAUCCUUGAUUCGCGCUCAUGUCAAGUUAUAGGAAGAGACCUUUGAGUAGUAGAUGUUCACAGAUGUUUCACUACCCUGAAACAGCAUUUGCAAUAGACUCACAGGUUAACCAAACAUCUUUGCAUCAGCCCUCUGUUCCACAAUGACCUGUAUGUCCAAACACGCACUCAAAAGCAAGCUC